ensembl:miRNA Mir3535 microRNA 3535
UUUGGGGCUGUCUUUAUGUUGUUGCUGAGAAAAUGACAACUGGAUAUGAUGACUGAUUACCUGAGAAAUAAUUGAUGAAAUCUCAAGAAAAUUCCUCUAGAUAGUCAAGUUCUGAUCCAGCUAUGUCAACUCAAAGCAGCAACCUUG